rnacentral:miRNA from 1 species
GUUUUUCCUCAGUACCGUUACAAU